rnacentral:lncRNA from 1 species
GGUUAUAAGCAUAAUAAGAGGCGUGUUCCACCACUGUGGACGGGGUCCCUGGGCUUUCCCCUAGGGUCCCAUCAGCUGCUUAUGUUCUACCUUCUGACGGAUCACAGGAGGAGCCUGCAGCGGAGGAGCCUCCUCCUCCUCAGCAUCAGACCUAAAGGGAGUGUCCUGCCUGAAGGACCGGCUCAAGGUCGCACUAACAGCUCUUGCUAACUCCUGUUCCAGGCUGUUUAUCUGGGCCUCCAAGUACCCUGCUUGCGCCUGGAGGUCUCUCACCCCCAGGUCCUGCUCAAAGCUGUGCACUUGGGCCCCCAGGCAUGCGGCUUGCUCCGGAAGGUCCCUUACCUGUGGCACUGAGCAUGUACUUCCUGCAGUGCAGUUAGAAAUGCCCAUCCGACUCUGCUUGCAAAGGCACAGCUGCUUAAAGACUGUUACCGGAAAGGAAUCCUGAUCCAGACGCCAAGAGAGGGUUCUUGGACUCAUGCAAGAAAGACUUCAGAAUACGAGUUUUGAAUUUUUGAAUUGCUGUUAAAACUUUCAUCAUGAACACUGAAGUGAGUGAAAAGAGACUUUUGCAGUCAUUUUUUUGGACAGAGAUCAUGGAAGUUGGGCCCGACUGGAUGAGAUUUGGGGGUCUUUGGAAGUGGAGAAUGUGUUUGCCCUGGGGAAGAGAGGUGAUGUCUAGGAGACCUCUUCACUCAGGGCAAGCUCUAUGACCUGCUUUGACUCCAGAAUGUGGUAGAAGUGGCAUCACAUAAAUUGCAGAGCCUAGGCUUCAAGAGACCUUGCAACUUGCCUCUCACUGACUUGAAGUGCUCCCAUCAGAGCAUCUUGUAAGGAGCAGGUGGAGCAUGUGGACAAGCCAUCCCCACCAGCCCCUGAGACAUGUGAGAGAGGCCAGAACAGGCCAUCCGGACCCCACUGUGCUGGUGGAUGAGACAGCAGAAGGAAUAUCAACCUACCAACAGAAUCCUGAGAAAUGCUCACUCUUACUUCAAGCUGCUGCAUUUUGAUGUUAUGAAACCAUAAAUAACUUAUGAAGUCAUCUUUGCUGACUUAAAGUUUUCCAUAACUUUAUUAUAACAUAUCAAAAUUAUGAAAAAUGUGAAAAGUAGAAAACUGAUGAAUUUUGCUUCUUCAUAUGGUCUUUAAGAAUCUCAAAGGCACUGAAGUUUUUUAUCUUUUCUGUCUUAGAAUAAAAAACCUUGAAUGAAAAUCUGCUUCUUGGAAAAGCAGCAAGGUUUAUGCAGAGGCAAUCUGGUAUUUGUGUGCACUGGCAGCUGAUCAUACCCAGCAUGCACGCACUCUCAGGGCAGAGUCUGAUGCCCCACAUAAUGGGGCAUGGUAAGGACUCCCAUGUCCUUGAGAUAAAAUGAUAAGGAAAAUACACACUGCUAUUAGAAUAACAGGCCCAGCUUCUGCACAUUUUAAUUCCCAAAGUUUUCAUGAAAGACAAUGAUUUUUUGGUACCAUGUUUAACUCUACAAGAAUCAGUAGUGAAAACUAAAAAUGAUACUUUGUGAAAGUUCAUUAAUUUUGUUUUCAGCCAGUGGUGGCCUUGGUCAGAUAGAAUCAAAUCUAUGAUACUUUUUAUCAGAAAUGCUUAUACUGUGUACAAACCCAAAGUGAUGGCUUUCAAAGAUUGAAUUUGAUUAUUUUCUGUAUGGUGCAGAUGAAAAAUUACUACACAGGAGAAGGUGGGUUGGAGGUGCUCACGAGUAACCAGGAAACAGUCUGAAGUUUUUCUGAUACUUCUCCUUGGUCCAACCAAAUGUGAGAUAUAAACACAAACUUGGGAUUCCGUUCUUAUGUUUUGGUUGUUUCAGUCUUUACAGAUGUAUCGAAAGGCUGUCCAAAAAUGUCUGACUUCUGUAGUGUGCCUUCGUAGCACUAGAGGGUUCUGCAGCUGUGAAACUGAAGGCAUUGGCAAGAAGCCCUCCAUCUUCAAACCACUUUCUGCUAAGGUGUGGCUCUAUAAAACCACUAUGAGCUGGGCUUCACUGAGACUGAGUUGUUUCAGUAGGAUCUUCCGGAAAAACAUGUUCCCUCCUUUACCUGGGUUGUCAUUCUGAGAACAAUCACACCUCCAAUUUUGGCUUACUAAGCAAUAGCGUUUUAAUGAUUUUAAGCCAGGAUUUGCUCCUCCUUUCCUCAGUAUGAGAGCUUAACCACUGGAGGAACCAAGAAUUCAUGCUGGUUGGGUUCUGAUUCCACUUUAACUUACUGUAUAGCCUCAUCCCUUGUUUUUCUGGAGAUUCUCUUUUUCUGCUUCACUGAUUUAUAUUUACAUUAAAAUCAAAUGAGGCCAUGUUUCUGAAAUCACAUUGUCCCUACAUGGUCAUUACAAUGAGUCUGUAAUGUGACUGAAAGACAGCCAUGGAUACAGGUAGAGGAUAUCAGGCAAUUGAAUGCUCAUCAAGCAUUCAAUUCAGGGCAAAUGGCAUAAGGUAUGCAGUUGGCCUCUUCUGAUAUCUGUGUCUUAAUCCUUUCUUUAGCCUCUGUUUUCUGGACCAAGGCUAAGAUAUUUUCUGGGCACAGUGGCUCAUGCCUAUAAUCCCAGCACUCUGGGAGGCCAAGGUGGGAGGAUUUCUUCAGCCCAGGAGUUCGAGACCAGCCUGGGGAACAUAGGAGACCUCAUUCCUACAAAUAAUAAAAAAAAUUAGCCAGC